UGUCCUGGGGUGAGGGACAACCCGGGGAAACCUGGGCUAAUACCGCAUGAUGUCGCGCUUCCGCAUGGUGGUGCGAUCAAAGAGGGCCUCUGCUUGCAUGCUCUCGCCCGAGGAGGGGGUCGCGACGUAUCAGCUUGUUGGUGGGGUAACGGCCUACCAAGGCUACGACGCGUAGCGGAUCUGAGAGGAUGAUCCGUCACAUUGGGACUGAGAUACGGCCCAG
rnacentral:rRNA from 1 species